AUGUGGUUUAAUUCGAAGCAACGCGAAGAACCUUACCAGGUCUUUGACAUCCCGAUGCUAUUUCUAGAGAUAGAAAGUUACUUCGGUACAUCGGUGACAGGUGGUGCAUGGUUGUCGUCAGCUCGUGUCGUGAGAUGUUGGGUUAAGUCCCGCAACGAGCGCAACCCCUAUUGUUAGUUGCCAUCAUUCAGUUGGGCACUCUAGCGAGACUGCCGGUAAUAAACCGGAGGAAGUGGGGAUGACGUCAAAUCAUCAUGCCCCUUAUGACCUGGGCUACACACGUGCUACAAUGGUUGGUACAACGAGUUGCGAGUCGGUGACGGCGAGCUAAUCUCUUAAAGCCAAUCUCAGUUCGGAUUGUAGGCGGCAACUCGCCUACAUGAAGUCGGAAUCGCUAGUAAUCGCGGAUCAGCACGCCGCGGUGAAUACGCUCCCGGGCCUU
rnacentral:rRNA from 1 species